GUUAGGUAUUCAGAGUAAUUACGGUGGUUGUAUUAGUGGAAUUGAUUAGGUGGAAUUGAUUAUAGAAAAGAAGGAAUUGAGAGCAUCACCUUCAUCAUCCGAGCAGCUGCCAUCACUUCCAGUUUCCAGUAAUAUUGUGCAAUCGAUUCGGAGAAUGGAGAUGGGAUUGUGAUGGGAAGAAAAGAAUGGUUGAUUGCGAGAUUUAAGAAGGAGAAGUUUCAAGGAGAACAAGAAAUUGCAGUCGAUUGACUGAGUGUUGCUUUCAGGUUGCCGUGAAGAAGAAAGUGGAGAUGAUAUUGACUGCAUUGUAAUCAAUUCCUUCUUUUGUCCAUUGACCACGACACGACAAGAUCUUUCGAUUCUAAGGUAAGAUGGACAGGUCUCUUGGAAAUCUCGGAACCUUUUCUACAAUAAAAGCUGCUAUUAAGAAAUAUGUGCUU